ACGCCCACCGGGUCCGCCCCCACGCGCCCGUCCGCCCAGGUGGUUUCCGCCACCCGCCUUUCCCGGGGUUUCCCCACCUUACUGCCCCCUCUCCCCCAGCUCUGGCUGCUGGGUCACCCCCACGACCUGGGACUCCCCGGCCGUUCCCACCCGGGCCGCCUGCAGUGAGGUCCGCUCCUGAGGCCUCAGCCUCCCUGGGGCAGAGCCCACUCCCGUCGUCGCCUCAGCUCCUUCCUGUCCCGGGGCCUGGGGGGCACCGUCCCACGGGUGAGGGCAGCCUCCUGCGCCUGGCCCAGCCACGUGAACGCCUGGAGCCCGCGAGCUGCAGCUGCGGCCCUGAAGGUGCCGCACAUCCUGCCGAGUGGGUGAAGCGUGGCACUUUGGAAAACAAAGCGGGUGAUCCGCCCGCCUCGGCCUCCCAAAGUGCUGGGAUUACAGGCGUGAACCACAGUGCCCGGCCGACACAAAGAACUUUCUAUGAGGUCCCAGGAAUGAAGGAAAACAGGCAAUAUGGCAAGAAUCACUGUCGAAGGAGUCUGCGCCACCUGCUCGCACAGCUCACUUGUGCCGUCUGAGCCUGCUUGAGCCCAGUGUACACAUGCAGUCUCCACGUGAUUAGAGAUUGCUGCUGCACUUGCCCAGUCCCCUGGCGGGGCUGGAACACAAAGGGGAUAGUGUUCCGGCUGCAACCAUGCCGAUGAAGACAAUACCCUAGAAGACGGAGGAACAACAGACAAGAAAGAAACCUGGUUUUCUGAAUAACAACGUGGAGCCAAGCAGCUUUCUUUUUUCAAACCACUGCUGCCCACCUCCAGAUUGAACUGUCUGCAAACAAAUCUUUACUUGAUGAGAAGUUUAAACAUAAUUAAAUCUAGUAUAUUCCA